rnacentral:rRNA from 1 species
GAUGAACGCUGGCGAGAUGCCUUACACAUGCAAGUCGUACGAGAGUUUUUAACUCAAGUGGCGGACGGGUGAGUAACACGUAAGAAUUUGCCUUUAGGAGGGGGACAACAACUGGAAACGGUGGCUAAUACCGGAUGAGCCGAAAGGUAAAAGAUUUAUUGCCCACAGAUGAGCUCGCGUCUGAUUAGCUAGUUGGUAAGGUAAAAGCGUACCAAGGCGACGAUCAGUAGCUGGUCUGAGAGGAUGAGCAGCCACACUGGGACUGAGACACGGCCCAGACUCCUACGGGAGGCAGCAGUGGGGAAUUUUCCGCAAUGGGCGAAAGCCUGACGGAGCAAGACCGCGUGGGGGAGGAAGGUUUUUGGAUCGUAAACCCCUUUUGUCAAGGAAGAAGCUCUGACGGUACUUGACGAAUAAGCCUCGGCUAACUCCGUGCCAGCAGCCGCGGUAA